GAUGAACGCUGGCGGCGUGCCUAAUACAUGCAAGUCGAGCGAACAGACGAGGAGCUUGCUCCUCUGACGUUAGCGGCGGACGGGUGAGUAACACGUGGAUAACCUACCUAUAAGACUGGGAUAACUUCGGGAAACCGGAGCUAAUACCGGAUAAUAUAUUGAACCGCAUGGUUCAAUAGUGAAAGACGGUUUUGCUGUCACUUAUAGAUGGAUCCGCGCCGCAUUAGCUAGUUGGUAAGGUAACGGCUUACCAAGGCAACGAUGCGUAGCCGACCUGAGAGGGUGAGCGCCCACAGAGAAGCGGAGACGCGGCCCAGCCUCCUAGGGGAGGACGGGGUGGGGAAUCUCCCGAAAGGGGGGAAAGCCUGACGGAGCACCGCGGGGUGAGUGAGAAAGUUCUUGGGUUCGUAAAACUUUUUUAUUGGGGAAAAAAAAAUUUAGAAGUAACUAUGCCCUUUUGAACGGACCCUAAGAAGAAGCCCGCGGCAAACUCGGG
rnacentral:rRNA from 1 species